GAUGAACGCUGGCGGCGUGCUUAACACAUGCAAGUCGAACGAUGAAGCUCAGCUUGCUGGGUGGAUUAGUGGCGAACGGGUGAGUAACACGUGAGUAACCUGCCCUUAACUCUGGGAUAAGCCUGGGAAACUAGGUCUAAUACCGGAUAGGAGCGCCUACCGCAUGGUGGGUGUUGGAAAGAUUUAUCGGUUUUGGAUGGACUCGCGGCCUAUCAGCUUGUUAGUGAGGUAAUGGCUCACCAAGGCGACGACGGGUAGCCGGCCUGAGAGGGUGACCGGCCACACUGGGACUGAGACACGGCCCAGACUCCUACGGGAGGCAGCAGUGGGGAAUAUUGCACAAUGGGCGAAAGCCUGAUGCAGCGACGCCGCGUGAGGGAUGACGGCCUUCGGGUUGUAAACCUCUUUCAGUAGGGAAGAAGCGAAAGUGACGGUACCUGCAGAAGAAGCACCGGCUAACUACGUG
rnacentral:rRNA from 1 species